GCGUAGUCGAUGGGAAAAUGGUUAAUAUUCCAUUACUUCUGUGUAAUGCGAUGAGAGGACGGAGAAGGCUAAAUCAGCCUGGCGUUGGUUGUCCAGGUGAAAGGAUGUAGGCAUGUAUCUUAGGCAAAUCCGGGGUACUCUAUGCUGAGAUCUGAUAGCAAGCUGUACUUGUACAGCGAAGUGGUUGAUGCCAUGCUUCCAGGAAAAGUCUCUAAGCUUCAGUUACACAGGAAUCGUACCCGAAACCGACACAGGUGGUCAGGUCGAGUAGACCAAGGCGCUUGAGAGAACUCUGCUGAAGGAACUAGGCAAAAUGGUACCGUAACUUCGGGAGAAGGUACGCUGUUGUUGGUGAUGGAACUCGCUUCCUGAGCUGACGACAGCCGCAGAAACCAGGCCGCUGCAACUGUUUAUUAAAAACAUAGCACUCUGCAAACACGAAAGUGGACGUAUAGGGUGUGAUGCCUGCCCGGUGCUGGAAGGUUAAUUGAUGGGGUUAGCGUAAGCGAAGCUCUUGAUCGAAGCCCCAGUAAACGGCGGCCGUAACUAUAACGGUCCUAAGGUAGCGAAAUUCCUUGUCGGGUAAGUUCCGACCUGCACGAAUGGCAUAAUGAUGGCGGCGCUGUCUCCAGCAGAGGCUCAGUGAAAUCGAAAUCGCUGUGAAGAUGCAGUGUACCCGCGGCUAGACGGAAAGACCCCGUGAACCUUUACUGCAGCUUGACACUGAACUUUGACCUUACUUGUGUAGGAUAGGUGGGAGGCUUUGAAGCUGGAACGCUAGUUCCAGUGGAGCCGUCCUUGAAAUACCACCCUGGUAAUGUUGAGGUUCUAACUCUGUCCCGUGAUCCGGGACGAGGACCGUGUCUGGUGGGUAGUUUGACUGGGGCGGUCUCCUCCUAAAGAGUAACGGAGGAGUACGAAGGUGCGCUCAGCGUGGUCGGAAAUCACGCGUAGAGUAUAAAGGCAAAAGCGCGCUUAACUGCGAGACCCACAAGUCGAGCAGGUACGAAAGUAGGUCUUAGUGAUCCGGUGGUUCUGUAUGGAAGGGCCAUCGCUCAACGGAUAAAAGGUACUCUGGGGAUAACAGGCUGAUACCGCCCAAGAGUUCAUAUCGACGGCGGUGUUUGGCACCUCGAUGUCGGCUCAUCUCAUCCUGGGGCUGAAGCAGGUCCCAAGGGUAUGGCUGUUCGCCAUUUAAAGAGGUACGCGAGCUGGGUUUAGAACGUCGUGAGACAGUUCGGUCCCUAUCUACCGUGGGCGCUGGAAAUUUGAGAGGAUCUGCUCCUAGUACGAGAGGACCAGAGUGGACGAACCUCUGGUGUACCGGUUGUGACGCCAGUCGCAUCGCCGGGUAGCUAUGUUCGGAAGGGAUAACCGCUGAAAGCAUCUAAGCGGGAAGCCUACCUCAAGAUAAGAUUUCCCUAGGACUUUAUGUCCUCUAAAGAGCCGUUCGAGACUAGGACGUUGAUAGGUUGGAUGUGGAAGCAUAGUGAUAUGUGAAGCUGACCAAUACUAAUUGCUCGUGAGGCUUGACUAU
rnacentral:rRNA from 1 species